GUUCAAGUUCAAGUUUAAUUUAUACUUCGAGUUCGAGUUAGUGUUCGAGUAAUAGUUCAAGUGAGAAAUCGAGUAACUAGACGAAAUAGAGUUCAAGCGAAAAAUCCUGUCCGACACAUACGAGAAAAAGAGGUUUAUUGAAACAAAACAAAAAUGAAUACUAGUUUAUAGAAUGGCGAAAUUGUAAUAAUCAGAAAAAUAAUGAUUCUAGAGGAAGCGGGAUAAUUACCUUUACCGUUGGUCACUAAAUAAGCCUAACUCAUAGAAAAGAUCUGAAAAUAUGCAUUUUAGUCCACUCAAACAUUUUUUUGUGUGUGUCUUCUAAUGCUUUCAGUCUCGAUCGCAUGUUCUUAUGGGUACGGCACAGAACAUGCGGUAUGUGGUUAAAUAGAGAUAAAAAAAAAUUGAAUUCAUUCAUCUAUUAAAAUGUUAUAAUUUGUGUGUGUAUGUGUGUGGUGGGCUGUAUGUCUUUAUAUUUUUGUUUUGUCCAUAUUCUCUCUUCUGAAUACAUAUAUAUAUAUAUACACAUCAGUACACCAUUAUUCACUUUUCUUUUGACAUAUUUACCUCUACCCGUUAUGUUUUUGCCUUUUAUCCACUAUUUGUUUGCCAUAUAUUCUCUAUUUUUUGCCCAUCAUUCUGUAUUCUGUUAACCCCAUCAAGCCUCUUUUCUUUGUAGUCACAUACAAAUAUAUUUCCUCUAGCUGAAUUUUAGACUUGAACAAAUGUAAUGAAGAACAAUGCACUUUUCAAUUUGUUUGGUCGUAAUAAUAAGUACCUCAACUACAGUUGAUAACGAAACUAGAUUUAGAAAAACACCAAGAUGAAUGGUAUGAAAGAUUUUGAAGAGCUUCCAUGAAUAUCAAAAUUAGAAAUAUGCUACAAUUUUAUUACAGUUUCAUAUAAACGCCUAUUGGUUUGUAGAAGUGAAUGACAAGAAACAACUAUUUCCCAAUUGUAUAGAGCUUGACAUAUGGUAUAGACUAUAUAUUGAAAACCGUUUGCUAUAGAUGGUUUUUGGCUUGUGUGUGUGUGUUUGUUUUUUUUUUUUUUGCCUUUUGGUUAUAGUGUUGUUUUCUUAUUACACAUAAUUCAUCUUCCUCAAAUCUUAUUUUAGCCAUACUCUGAAAUCUACAGAUUAAGACACCAAAGAGCACUUUUGCAACUCUGUGAUUGAUUGAUACAUUGUUGGUGAUUAACGCCUUAUUCAUCACUAUUGGCUAUUUUUAUUGGUGCAGGAGGCCGGCGUACCCGGAGAGAACAACCGACCUUCUGCAAGAAAACUGGCUAUUCUAGUCAAUUAAGAUAAGAGUCAAUCGCAAAUGCCUCAUGGGGGGCUUGAACUCACAAUCUCAAAUUGACAGGACAGCCAAGUCCAACCAAAGACUUGUCAUGAACAGUGUUAUUUGAUGCGUCUUAGUUGAGUGCGUGUUAUUUAGGAGUAGAAGCAAACACUAGUCGGAUCGGAGUCAGAAUAAUGUAUUACAUGUAAUGUUUACUGUCUUCCAGUCGAUUUGUUUGUGUCCAUAUUUUUUUUAAUGAACUAAUCUGUUAUAGCGGGGAAAUGUUCUUACAAUUGAAGAGUUCCGUUUUAGAGUGUGUAGAAGGGGAUACAAAAUAUCAUCAUAAAUACUAAGUGACACGAUUAUAAAAAUGUCAAUCACCGCUCAUUUUGUCUCCAUAAGACUAAUCAGUGACGUUCGAAUCAAAACAGUUAAAAUGGCAAAAUGAGUUCGAAGAUGAAUAGAAUUGAGGAUACAAAAUUCCAAAUGCAAGGCUUAAGACAUGUUUUCCUGUGGAAGAAAAUCCUUAGUAUUUCGAUUAGUUUUUGUCACAAGAUUUCCCAUUCUGCAUUAAAACGACAAUGAACGAGAUUUGACCAUAAUAUCUUGUUUUAAUGCUUUUCAAAAAUACAAAUACAUUUGUAAAUCAGAAACAUUUUUUCAAAAUUUUUGUCAUUCGGUCACUCACAACAAAAUAUGUACUAAAACAAUAUUGUAUGGCAUAAUCAAUCUAAUACUAGAAAACAAACAUCGUCAGAGUUACACGGUUGCAAUAGAAAAUUUUCAAUGGUUUAAAAUUUGAUAGUUUAAAUUCGUUUUUUUAUCUGCAGAACGAAAUCAUAUGUUGUAUCGGAUAGGGAGGAACCAACCCUCUUCAUUUGUAUAAAAAGACGUACAAAAAGGACAGUAUUCUUUGAUACUAUAUAUUCUUUAGUAUCGUACGUUGGGCUCGUGUUUUUGAACGCCUUUUAUACAUAUAUUGCAUACACGUAGGUAUAUUGUAGAACUGACUAGUAUUAUAUACGUUCUCGUAUGUAUCUUUUCUUGUUUCUUAUGUAGAAAAAUCCUUAAAUCUGAUUGGUAAAUUACACGAGUGUAAAUAACACCCCACCCUUGUACACCCGGGGAUAAAUAAAAUUUGCUAAAAUUAGGAACAAAAAUCUUCAUUAUCAUUUUUCAAUUUUACAUCCCGGUUUAAAAAUGAGUAAAGGAACACCGCAGUAAAAUUCUAUACACCCCUGAUAACACAAAGAUAACGAAUUUAUUUCUUACGAAGCUUUCCGUUACUCAUGUGCAACGUUUGGCGGUUUGAAACAUGUUUUGUGAGAUCUCAGCACUCCCUAUACCUCUAGCCAAUGGGGAAUAAACAAACACAUAGCAAUACAUAUAUAGUCAUCUUUCGCGUCAUUGAGGCUUUUGAUCUAAAAGUUGUUAACCCGGUCAAGUCUGAAAAUAUAAAAAAGCUAUGCAGCGCUACACGUUGCUGUAAAAGGCACUUUGAUACAACAUUUAAACAUUUCAUAAACUAAGUAUAUAUUUUUGCUAAAUUUGGCAGAAACAAAAUCUGUCAAAAUGAAGUUUUUUGUCGACCUCUGGCGUUAAUUAAUAUGUGCUCUAUUUGGAAAUAAGCUACAAACUUAGAGUAAAUUUAAGUGAAUUUAAGUAAAAAUUGAACCAAUACAUUUUUUUUUCGGAGCAUUGAUCAGAUAACAAUUCUUUGGUACCGGUGUUAUCAAACCUUUAACCUUUUGCGGAUGUAGUUAUUUUUGAUAAGCAUAUUUUCAGAUACACAUCUAUAGUUAUAUUGGAAUGAAGAUCCCAUUGACGUGUAACAAGACCUCUUUUGAUUCAUAUCGAUAUCUUGUUAUAUUUUUAUGCAUCGUAAGUUUUAUCGUUUAGAUUUUCUGGCACAGUUGUGUGUCGACAUAUACAUUUAUUGGAUCAACGGGAAUACCAAGUGUAGAUUUGACCAGUUGUAGAACCAGGAAAGUAUUCCCAGUGUUACUGAAGGCACCAUUGACUUGCAGAUACAUAGCAAUAACGAAGAAGGAGGCAGACCAGUGACUGAAGAUCAAGAUAUUCAACCUGGCAAUGAAGAUGAAUAUUUGACUGAAGUGUCAAGUUUGAAUCCUGCCAGUUGUUUUUCAAACAUUCACACUCAUAAACAGAAAUUACUCUUUAUGUGUAGAAUGUGUGGUUCUCAUGAUCUGCAUAAUAGUACAAAAGAUAAAGGUGCUUUUCGAAUGGAAAUAUUUGAAUUAUUCAAAAUCAAUGUUGAUUUAGACGACACAAGUAUCCACCCGAAAUCUUUAUGCAGGAAUCAUGAAAGGCUCCUACUUCGAUAUGCACAAUCAAAGAUUGAUAAGAAAGAUUUAUAUACCAGUGUAGAACCGGUUGUAUUUUUUCCACAUGAUGACUCUGACACGUGUUCAGUUUGCAAUCCUAUUAUUAGGCGAAAACGUAAAUAUAAAGGAACCCCGAAAGCAUCUCUCCGUAAAUAUACACACGCUGAUACACCUGACACAGUCGUUUUACCAGUAGAAAAACAACACAAGCCCUCAAAACGAGAUGAUAUAAACUUAAAUUCUGUCUCUGAAAGCCAAAAGAAAUAUGAUGGUGGUAUGUCUGCAUUUGAUAUUCUAAAGCUACAUUCAAAAUUGAACGCUACAGAGAAGAAUUCGUUUAUGAAACUGUACAUUACAAAUCUUUCAGAAGAAGAACAGGCAAAAGUCACUUAUCUAAUUGCAAAGCAACAAAAAGACAUUUUACAAACAGACAGCGAAGAAAUAUCAAGGCAGUAUGCAUCUAGAGAGACUUUGCUUAACCUAGAUCCCAAUGUUUGGUUGAAUGAACGAAACAGAACUAUAGUCUCCUUCGUUGCUGGAAUAGCUGGGGAAGACUGUGUACAAGUUAAAAGUCUUGAUACACAACUCGCCCUGAUGUUUUGUCGUGUAGUCGAAUACAUGUACAGUUUAAGAUACAAAAAACUUGUCACUCCGUUUGCUUUUCUUGUUUCACUUGACAUCUAUACGCAAACUAGUAGCCGAGUAGCGAUUGACUCUCUUGGUAAGAGCUGUCCAAGUGGAACAUAUACUACUUUGAAAAAAUGGCUCUCCUCUACUGAAGAUACUGCACCACGUUGUCCUUCUGGUACAGUGAUAACUGCUUUUGACAAUGAACAAGUCAUUGGGUAUAAAAGAAAUAUAGGUACUGGCUCAAAGUCUGUAUCUUCAGUCAUAACUACAAUUGUCAAUGCAAGCAUGCAUUCCGAUAAUCAAAGGGCAAUUCAACACGAUGAGUCUCUGAAACCUAAAAACUGGUUUUCAGUAAAACACUUUGACGAAAAGUUAAAACAUAUCGAAAUGUCUGGUGCUAUUAAUGAGGAAGUUGUCAAAGUCCGUGAGGAAAAAGAGUACUUUAUCAAUGAAGUCCAAAAUAUUAGAGACAGUAAGCUUCCUGAGUACGAGCAAUUAGAAAAAACACAUUAUGAACAGCUAUAUUUCUUCCUGUCAAAAGCAAUUAAAGACGUUGUCGAAGAGCAAGAACUAAACCAAAACUGUAUUACAGAUUUUAUUGACAAAGAAAUUGACAAAAAGACAAGAGAAAAGGAAAUUCUGGUAUGCACAAUCUGCGGACAAGAAAAUGCCCGACGAAAACUUAUUUGUGACAACUGUAAGCAGAAGGAGGGCAUAAAGCAAGCAAGAGCAAAGAAACAACAAAUUGACGAGGUUAAAAGACAUCCAGGAUCGCAAGAGAUUGUAUUGGGAAAAGAAAAGAGGGACAACAAUGAACAUUGCCGGUUCGAACAUGUCAAAACAAACCAUAAAGAGAAAACUGACUUAGUAAUGGGUAAACCGGUCUUUGUAAAUCCUAACAGCAAUGAUUCGGUAGCACUUGUAUUUCGUCAAAUUGGUAUAAAUAGUGGAAUUAUGAAAUAUAAUGGCCAAGAUCGUCACUGGACUUUCGUUUGCUGUGAUGGAAGGCCGCAUAGUUUAUAUCACAAAAUUCUAGACGAAUGUAUCAUAUGCUGCUAUUGUCAAAGUUCAUUUAUGUCUCGCAAGUUAUAUAGGGAACACCACAGAAUAAAUCAUGCAAACUUAAUUCCUUCAUUUGCAAAAGAGUUUGACUGGUUGUAUUUGCGUAUAGGCUUAGGACAUUACGAGAUGAAUGUUAUUAAAUCCUUCUUCGAACUGAAUUGGACGCCUUAUUUGGAGAGCAUGUGCGAAUUACUCAACUUCACAACGGAUAAUGCAAAGACAUUUGCAAAAACAUGUAAAGAUCAUCACGUCGCGUGGCAACUUUUACUAGUUUUUCACACAACGGCAAUGAAAGAAAUGGUUCUUCCAUUCGUUAGAAAAAUGAUUCUUUCUAAAGAAAGCCCUACACCAGAAACGUAUCUAACAUUUUACAAAGAAGUUUUAUCCAACAAUCCUAGGUGGGAAAGCCUUCAUCUCCAAGUAUUUAGAUUUUCACAGGCUAUCAUUAACCUCAGAAUGGGUGUCAGGAGAAACAACAGCGACCUUGUACACAGUGCCAAAUUCCACCUGAAGGAACUGUUUUAUGGUAGAUCUCAUCCCCAUUAUCAAAACAUAGAACUGUUUGACACACUUCAAUAUCAUUUUAUGCCAGAUGACGUGCGAAAUAUAUGGGACAGCAAUAUAUCAUUUACCGUCAGUGGUCAUCCAUCAAAAGGUCAAGACAUGGAUUUUCUUUUGGAAGAAAAAAAUAGAGCCGUGAAGCAAUUUAUUCCCAGUGGAAGUAUUCCUUCUGAUGAUACAUGGUACUCCGUCUGUUGUAACCUUGAUUACAUAGAGAGUCUUCAGGCAAAAUUUUCCUCAUGGCUUGGUCCCAGAAAGAGUAAUGAGCAUUCAUCAAAACAGUUAUGCAUAGAAAACGCUGUAAACGGAUUUAGACAGUCUCUACGAACAUAUCUCGAUCUCUCAAAAGAUGAAUUUGUUUCAAUGAGCGGCGAAAAAUUACAUUCAGAUUUAAAUAACUUUUUAGAAACGUCAACGUCUAAGCGCAUGAAUUGGAUUAAUACCACGGUUUUGGAACAAGAACCAAGUCCCCACAUUAAUCAGUGUGAGCCAGUUUAUGUUACAGAAGAAGAACAAGCUGGUCACCUUAUCAAAAUUCCAAAGUCAGAGAUUGUCAAAAAAAUUAAGAAAAAAAUCAUCAAUGAAAUUUCAGAUGAAGCUCUGCAAACUCAUUAUACAAGAGUACUUGAUAGUCUUGAUGAGGACAAAAUGAAGAAAGACAUUUUUUUGACCCUGUUACUUGAAAUCCAGGAUGUCGUGCUGAGCACUGAUACAGUUGUCUCUGACGAUGAUUUAUAGUUGUAUGGAAGACAGUUUUACACUAUAUGAUAUAUUUAUUUUUACAUUUUUAUUUUUGUCUUUUAAAAACUUUUUAAGUUUAAUGUAUAUUCGUAGUUUGAUAAUUUAUUGGAAAUGAACAAAUGUCCCAUUACUCUAGGUAAUUAGAAUUUUCAGUUCUGAAAUUCAAAUUUCGCUGAAUGCAGAUAGAAUGCAGAUAGAAUUUAUAAAUAAUAUUUUUAAUUGGAUAGACUAACAUGUAUUCGACAUGUUUUGUUUGUUACAAGAAUUUGUAUACGAUGCAAAAGAAUGCAAGAAAGUAAUUAUUAAAUGAUGUCCCAUAAAUAUCCAAAUAAAAGAUGAAUACAGACUGCAAUGAGACAGAAAUGAUACCACGACUUCAAUAUUUUAUUUACCAAAUGGAUCUAAAACAUGUUAAAAUGAAGUACAACAUUACAUUUCAAGGUAAAAAACCGUAUAGCGCACAUUAUCAUACUCGAGUUUAAUACAAUCCACACUAUCAUCUAAUUAAAAAGUGUUUGUUUUUAAAUGUUUAAUUCUGUAAACUUUAAACUUUCGAGAAAAAAAAAUCAUUGUUAUUUUUGUGUUUACGUUUUUUUCGAUAUACUGGUAGAAUUUAAGAAGGGGGUGGGUCUAUUAGUUUACAAAAACUAGUGUAUCUCCACCAUAUAUUCAUAUGCCAUUCCCAAGGAUGAAAUUUUGUCAAUGAUUGUGCAUAUUUUGCAUAAUGAAGUUCAGAUAAAUAUAAGUUAAUACUUUCGUUUUUAUAUAUUUAUGCAUAUAAAUCAUGUUUAUUUCUAUAAAAUAAGUAAUUUCUUUUCCUUAAUAAAAGCACUAAUUUGUGAUAAUUUCUAUAAAAUAUAGUAAGAAAUUAAACAAUAUAAGCCUGGUUGCACAAAGUACUAAAAUGUUGGUCAAUAUUAUAGUUUCAACUACAAUAUAAACUUCUAUUCGCUUCUUUUAUAAUAAUACAAAAGAUUAAUAAAUAAAAUGCAUCAUCUUAUUUUGCUGAACAAUGUAAGUUCAUAUAAAUUUUUUUGUGUUAUUGUUGUCACUUUGCUUUAUACUUUAAGAGGAUCAAGAUAUUGUCAUUAUCAACCAAACAACAUCAGCAUUUUUUUCUGUUCUGACAAAUAUAUAUUAUUAGUCUUUUAUUUUUGCAGUGUUGAAAAAUCUCGGGUCUGCGAGAAAAAAAGUUAUCUCACUGAAGAAGAAGAGAUGCAAGCAAAGGUAUCAAACGAAAGAAGAAUAAAGAGUGAAGCUAUGAAACAAAUAACGAAACAGCUCACUCGGCUACGUGAGCUAGAACUUGAGCCUGUUUCGUUUAUGUUUCUUGUCAAGGACGAAAUGACAAGGGUUAGACGAUCCCGUCCUAGAUAUAUUGGAAAAGGCGCGCUGUAUCACAAAUUUAAAAAUGUACAGUCACUGCUGACAAAAGAGGAAUUGGCGAGAGCAAAGACAUUAGAAAAUUAUUAUCCCUCCAGGGAUGACGUAAGGCAGGAUGUUCCAAUGAUAACGCCUUCAAAGUUACAUUUUGGGCCCGGGCAUAGUAAACAGCUUGCCGAAACACAGAAGAAGGCCCUUGAGGGAGCAAGCACAUCACUGGAAACUUCAGAAACUUUUACUAUCUGUGUCGAUUCACCAUUACAGAACAUUCGUAAUAGAACGAAGAAGCCAAACGCCCAGAAAG